rnacentral:rRNA from 1 species
GAUGAACGCUGGCGGCGUGCCUAAUACAUGCAAGUCGAACGAAUCUUCUUCGGAAGAUGAGUGGCGAACGGGUGAGUAAUACAUAGGUAACCUGCCCCUGUGCGGGGAAUAACAGGAGGAAACUCCUGCUAAUACCGCAUAGCCAUGAGCACCACAUGGAGCUCAUGCCAAAUAUCCUUUAUGGGAUAGCGCAGGGAUGGACUUAUGGCGCAUUAGCUGGUUGGCGGGGCAACGGCCCACCAAGGCAACGAUGCGUAGCCGGCCUGAGAGGGCGGACGGCCACAUUGGGACGGAGACACGGCCCAGACUCCUACGGGAGGCAGCAGUAGGGAAUUUUCGGCAAUGGGGGAAACCCUGACCGAGCAACGCCGCGUGAGCGAAGAAGGCCUUCGGGUCGUAAAGCUCUGUUGUAAAGGAAGAACGGCGCAUACAGGAAAUGGUAAGCGAGUGACGGUACUUUACCAGAAAGCCACGGCUAACUACGUGCCAGCAGCCGCCGUAA